AUUGAACGCUGGCGGAAUGCUUUACACAUGCAAGUCGAACGGCAGCACGGACUUCGGUCUGGUGGCGAGUGGCGAACGGGUGAGUAAUACAUCGGAACGUGCCCUGUCGUGGGGGAUAACGUAGCGAAAGCUACGCUAAUACCGCAUACGAUCUAAGGAUGAAAGCGGGGGAUCGCAAGACCUCGCGCGAUUGGAGCGGCCGAUGGCAGAUUAGGUAGUUGGUAGGGUAAAGGCCUACCAAGCCGACGAUCUGUAGCUGGUCUGAGAGGACGACCAGCCACACUGGGACUGAGACACGGCCCAGACUCCUACGGGAGGCAGCAGUGGGGAAUUUUGGACAAUGGGCGCGAGCCUGAUCCAGCCAUGCCGCGUGCAGGAUGAAGGCCUUCGGGUUGUAAACUGCUUUUGUACGGAACGAAAAGGUUUCUUUUAAUACAGGGAACUGAUGACGGUACCGUAAGAAUAAGCACCGGCUAACUACGUGCCAGCAGCCGCCGUAACAC
rnacentral:rRNA from 1 species